UCCUGUGUGACCGAUAGUGAACCAGUACCGCGAGGGAAAGGUGAAAAGAACCCCAAGUCGGGGAGUGAAAAGGACCUGAAACCGUACGCCUGCAAGCGGUCGGAGCUGAUGAGUCAAAUCAUUCAGUGACGGCGUGCCUUUUGCAUAAUGAGCCUACGAGUUACGGUGACUGGCAAGGUUAAGUGAGUCAACUCACGCAGCCGCAGCGAAAGCGAGUCUGAACAGGGCGCAUGUCGACUUUAAGUAGUCGUCGAGUCAGUUGCUGUAGACGCGAAACCAAGUGAUCUACCCAUGAGCAGGUUGAAGGUGGGGUAACACCCAGUGGAGGACCGAACCAGUAAACGUUGAAAAGUUUUUGGAUGACUUGUGGGUAGGGGUGAAAGGCCAAUCAAACUUGGAGAUAGCUCGUACUCUCCGAAAUGCCUUUAGGGGCAGCCUCGCUUGAGAGUCUACUAGAGGUAGAGCUACCAGCAGGACUAGGGGGAGUCACAUCCUACCAAAUCCUAGUGAACUCCGAAUGCUAGUAGACUGCGGCGGGAGUGAGGGUGAGGGUGCUAAGGUCCUCAUCCGAGAGGGAAACAACCCAGACCAUCCGCUAAGGUCCCCAAGUGACUACUAAGUUGAACAAAGGGGGUCUGCCUGCGGCGACAGCCAGGAGGUUGGCUUAGAAGCAGCCAUUCCUUUAAAGAGUGCGUAACAGCUCACUGGUCGAGCGGGCGGGGCACCGAUAAUAAACGGGCAUCAAGUACAGUACCGAAGCUGUGGGAAGAUAGCGUAAGCUAUGAUUCGGUAGGAGAGCAUUCUAGUAUCAGAGAAGCAGACCCGUCAGGGUUUGUGGAGCGACUGGAAAAGCAAAUGUAGGCAUGAGUAACGAUAAUCAAGGUGAAAACCCUUGACACCGGAAGACUAAGGUUUCCUGAUCAACGUCAAUCGGAUCAGGGUUAGUCGGCACCUAAGGGGUUAGGGAAACUGAAGCUCCGAUGGCGAGCGGGUUAAUAUUCCCGCACUGGUAUGAGGAGUCUUUUCAUGACGGAGCAAGCAAGUGCCUGCGCACUGACGGAAUAGUGCGUUAAACCUGCCCUGGCAGGGAUAGUACCCCACGGCUUCGGCCACGGGGAUAAUGGCACGGAGGAGCUUCCAAGAAAAGCAGCGCUGACAAUUGCAAACUGAGCCGUACCGCAAACCGACACAGGUAGUCGGGUAUAAACGUACCAAGGUGCUCGAGUGAGUCACGGCUAAGGAACUCGGCAAAAUGGCCCUGUAACUUCGGGAGAAGGGGAGCCUCUCUUAGCAAUAAGAAGGUCGCAGCGAAUGGGCCCAGGCGACUGUUUACCAAAAACACAGGACUCUGCUAAAACGAAAGUUGACGUAUAGGGUCU
rnacentral:rRNA from 1 species